rnacentral:rRNA from 1 species
AACGAACGCUGGCGGCAUGCCUAACACAUGCAAGUCGAACGAGACCUUCGGGUCUAUUGUCGCACGGGUGCGUAACGCGUGGGAACCUUCCUUUAUGUUCGGAAUAACUCAGAGAAAUUUGAGCUAAUACCGGAUGAUGUCUUCUGACCAAAGAUUUAUCGCCUUUCGAUGGGCCCUCGUUGGAUUAGCUAGUUGGUUGGGUAAAGGCAUACCAAGGGGACGAUCCAUAGCUGGUCUGAGAGGAUGAUCAGCCACACUGGGACUGAGACACGGCCCAGACUCCUACGGGAGGGAGCAGUGGGGGAUAUAGGACAAUGGGGGAAAGGAUGAUCCAGCAAUGCCGCGUGAGUGAUGAAGGCAGUAGGGUUGUAAAGCUCUUUUAACCGAGAUGAUAAUGACAGUAUCGGGAGAAUAAGCUCCGGCUAACUCCGUG